AGAGUUUGAUCAUGGCUCAGAGCGAACGCUGGCGGCAGGCCUAACACAUGCAAGUCGAACGGAUCCUUCGGGAUUAGUGGCGGACGGGUGAGUAACACGUGGGAACGUGCCCUUUGGUUCGGAACAACUCAGGGAAACUUGAGCUAAUACCGGAUGUGCCCUUCGGGGGAAAGAUUUAUCGCCAUUGGAGCGGCCCGCGUCUGAUUAGCUAGUUGGUGGGGUAAAGGCCCACCAAGGCGACGAUCAGUAGCUGGUCUGAGAGGAUGAUCAGCCACAUUGGGACUGAGACACGGCCCAAACUCCUACGGGAGGCAGCAGUGGGGAAUCUUGCGCAAUGGGCGAAAGCCUGACGCAGCCAUGCCGCGUGAAUGAUGAAGGUCUUAGGAUUGUAAAAUUCUUUCACCGGGGACGAUAAUGACGGUACCCGGAGAAGAAGCCCCGGCUAACUUCGUGCCAGCAGCCGCGGUAAUACGAAGGGGGCUAGCGUUGCUCGGAAUUACUGGGCGUAAAGGGAGCGUAGGCGGACUGUUUAGUCAGAGGUGAAAGCCCAGGGCUCAACCUUGGAAUUGCCUUUGAUACUGGCAGUCUUGAGUACGGAAGAGGUAUGUGGAACUCCGAGUGUAGAGGUGAAAUUCGUAGAUAUUCGGAAGAACACCAGUGGCGAAGGCGACAUACUGGUCCGUUACUGACGCUGAGGCUCGAAAGCGUGGGGAGCAAACAGGAUUAGAUACCCUGGUAGUCCAA
rnacentral:rRNA from 1 species